UACGUAGGGACCAAGCGUUGUUCGGAUUUACUGGGCGUAAAGGGCGCGUAGGCGGCGUGACAAGUCACUUGUGAAAUCUCCGGGCUUAACUCGGAACGGUCAAGUGAUACUGUUGUGCUAGAGUACAGAAGGGGCAAUCGGAAUUCUUGGUGUAGCGGUGGAAUGCGUAGAGAUCCGGAAGAACACCGGUGGCGAAGGCGGUCUGCUGGGCAGUAGCUGACACUGAGGCGCGACAGCGUGGGGAGCAAACAGG
rnacentral:rRNA from 1 species